GUCAGGUGGGCAGUUUGACUGGGGCGGUCGCCUCCCAAAAGGUAACGGAGGCGCUCAAAGGUUCUCUCAGUACGGUCGGAAAUCGUACGUAGAGUGUAAAGGCAAAAGAGAGCUUGAUUGCAAGACAUACAGGUCGAGCAAGGAUGAAAAUCGGACUUAGUGAUCCGGUGGUUCUGCGUGGAAGGGCCAUCGCUCAACGGAUAAAAGCUACCCUGGGGAUAACAGGCUUAUCUCCCCCAAGAGUCCACAUCGACGGGGAGGUUUGGCACCUCGAUGUCGGCUCAUCACAUCCUGGGGCUGUAGUAGGUCCCAAGGGUUGGGCUGUUCGCCCAUUAAAGUGGUACGCGAGCUGGGUUCAGAACGUCGUGAGACAGUUCGGUCCCUAUCCGUCGCAGGCGUAGGAAAUUUGAGAAGACCUGUCCUUAGUACGAGAGGACCGGGAUGGACG
rnacentral:rRNA from 1 species